GGCAAUGUUGCCAGAUUCCUUUUAGCGGGAAUUUUAAAAUUUUAUAGCAGUUUGGUUUUAAAUUUGACAGUUCUGUUUUCUCAAGUCAAAAAUCUUAACCUUACUUUUACAAGUGAUUAAGAUUAUUAUUAUUUUAUUUACACGUAAAUUGAAACAAUAAAUAUUGUGCUUUGUCAUAAUUUAAAACUCAUUAUGUUGAAGUCUUUUCCAGUUGAUAAAAUUGCAAUUCAAAAACUUUUAGAUUUGCACUGUAUGGAUGGCACAGGAAGAGAACAGAGAACAAGAGUACAAGAACAUGAAACAUCUUAUUAUGAAUGUAUAUGUAUGUGAUCCUCAAAAAAUUAUUUUUCAAAACAAGAUAGAGAAAGAGCUUUAAAAUCCCAAGGAUCCUGCAAAAUGUUUAUUUGGUGUACUAGUCGAAUAAUAGUAUCUAAAAAUAUUGAAACUGUUUUAAAACACAUUAUAGGCAUGAGGAUGAUAUAGAGCACUUACAUAAAUACCAAAAUCAAAUAAAUAUCUCUUCAAAGUUUAUUUUGAGACUUUCUUCAAAAAUAACUUCAGACUGUUCAGGAUAGCAUAAUAGCAUAGGAGGCGAAUUAAAAAGAAUUAAUUUACUUACAAGAAAAGAUAUCACAAACAUUAAACUCUCUUAUGGCAUUGAUUUGAAAGAUGGGUAUAUGUACAAGGAUGAUGCAACCAGUGUUUAUUUUUGGGUUGAAUGCUUACAGACUCAUGUCCAAUAUUAUUUUACAAACAACAGGGCAUACUAAUGGAUAUUCAUUCUGAAUUUAACAUUUAUGAUUUUUGUCUUAUUUUCCUUAAUACUGUGCCAAAAGGAAAUGUUAAUUAAGUUUGGCAAAUCCUUUAUCGCAAUCGAUGGAACUCAUGGGCUCAAUUCCUAUGACUUUGAACUUAUGACAGUAUUAGUAAAAGAUGAAUUUGGGAAUGGAUUUUGUACUGCUUUCUUAUUUUCAAAUAGAAAAGAUACCUACUUUAAUUUACCAAUUUUUUUAAAUACAUGUCUGUGUUGGUAUUAUAUGUAUAGUCAAAUGUUUUCAUAUCAGGCAUAAGUGACACCUUUUACAAUGCCUCGUCAAAUGUAAUGGGUAUGGCUCCUAAUAGACUGUUAAGUGCCUGGCACAUAGAUAGGGCAUGGUAAGUAAAUCUUAAUAAAAUAUCUGAUUCUGAAAAAAAUCCUAUUAUAUAUACAAGAUGUAUUAAUGAUGGUUCAGAGAGUAUUAAUAGCUUUUUGGGUAGACUUCUAAGUGAUGCAGAUACAUACAAUUUUAAUAAGUAUUUCCAGUAGAACUACUGCAAUAACAUCCAACAAUGGGCCUAUUGUUAUAGGAAGGGGUUGUGGAAUUAAUACCAAUAUGACCAUUCAAAAUUUUCAUAAAAUUUUGGAUAAAAGGGUAUCCAUUAGUUGUUAUCAGUUAAGUUUAAAACUUGGCACUCAUGGAGAGCUAUACUCUAUACCAUAAUAUAUAAUAGGUAUAUCUCAUAAUAUUACAUCUCAUAUUGCUCACUCAUUACAAUAGUGAGCAAUAGAAGAUAUAACAUAUUAUAGUAUAAGUCUCUGUGCAUGACCAGAUUAACAUGUUUGGCGCCCAUCUCGAACAAGCUCCACUUGGCUGGUACCACAUACUUAAAUCAUUUAUUUAGUUACACAGUACUACUCACAUAACUUAUGUGUCGCCAUAAAACCUUCGUGAUGCUACUCAUACUUCAUGGCCACUGAAUGUGUUAAAGCUUGUUAAUGUAGGAGAGUUAUACUAAAAUAUAUAUCUUAUAUUAUAUUGCCUUAAAUAGAAAAAAUAUCUUAUUUAAAUUGUAUCCAUGUAAGUUUUGAUUUAAUGAAAUAAACCUUUUAAUCAAAAA
rnacentral:lncRNA from 1 species